GACGAACGCUGGCGGCGUGCUUAACACAUGCAAGUCGAACGGAAAGGCCCUGCUUUUGUGGGGUGCUCGAGUGGCGAACGGGUGAGUAACACGUGAGUAACCUGCCCUUGACUUUGGGAUAACUACAGGAAACUGGGGCUAAUACCGGAUAGGAGCUCCUGCUGCAUGGUGGGGGUUGGAAAGUUUCGGCGGUUGGGGAUGGACUCGCGGCUUAUCAGCUUGUUGGUGGGGUAGUGGCUUACCAAGGCUUUGACGGGUAGCCGGCCUGAGAGGGUGACCGGCGACAUUGGGACUGGGAUACGGCCCAGACUCCUACGGGAGGCAGCAGGGGGGAAUAUUGCCCAAUGGGCGGAAGCCUGAUGCAGCAACGCCGCGUGCGGGAGGACGGCCUGCGGGUUGGAAACCGCUUUCGCCUGUGACGAAGCGUGAGUGACGGUAAUGGGUAAAGAAGCACCGGCUAACUACUUG
rnacentral:rRNA from 1 species